rnacentral:rRNA from 1 species
CAGCAGCCGCGGUAAAACGAAGGGGGCUAGCGUUGUUCGGAAUUACUGGGCGUAAAGCGCACGUAGGCGGAUAUUUAAGUCAGGGGUGAAAUCCCGCAGCUCAACUGCGGAACUGCCUUUGACACUGGGUAUCUUGAGUAUGGAAGAGGUUAGUGGAAUUGCGAGUGUAGAGGUGAAAUUCGUAGAUAUUCGCAGGAACACCAGUGGCGAAGGCGACUCUCUGGUCUGUAACUGACGCUGAGGAGCGAAAGCGUGGGGAGCGAACAGGAUUAGAUACCCCGGUAGUCCCUGUCUCUUAUAC